rnacentral:SRP_RNA from 1 species
ACCCAGGUCCUGCGCAACGGGAACCAGUGAAUCCUGUCAGGUCCGGAAGGAAGCAGCAGUAAGCUGUCUCUCCCGUGUGCCGUGGGAGUGCCUGGGUCGA